AAGGAAUUUUCCACAAUGGGCGCAAGCCUGAUGGAGCAACGCCGCGUGCGGGAUGACGCCCUUCGGGGUGUAAACCGCUUUUCGAGGGGACGAAGGCAAUGACGGUACCCUCGGAAUAAGGAUCGGCUAACUACGUGCCAGCAGCCGCGGUACUACGUAGGGUGCAAGCGUUGUCCGGAUUUAUUGGGCGUAAAGAGCUCGUAGGCGGUUAGACACGGCGGAUGUGAGAACUGGGGGCUCUACCCCCA
rnacentral:rRNA from 1 species